rnacentral:rRNA from 1 species
AUUGAACGCUGGCGGCAUGCCUUACACAUGCAAGUCGAACGGUAACAGGUCUUCGGAUGCUGACGAGUGGCGCACGGGUGAGUAAUACAUCGGAACGUGCCCAGACGUGGGGGAUAACGAGGCGAAAGCUUUGCUAAUACCGCAUACGAUCUAAGGAUGAAAGCAGGGGACCGCAAGGCCUUGCGCGUUUGGAGCGGCCGAUGGGAGAUUAGGUAGUUGGUGGGAUAAAAGCUUACCAAGCCGACGAUCUGUAGCUGGUCUGAGAGGACGACCAGCCACACUGGGACUGAGACACGGCCCAGACUCCUACGGGAGGCAGCAGUGGGGAAUUUUGGACAAUGGGCGAAAGCCUGAUCCAGCAAUGCCGCGUGCAGGAUGAAGGCCUUCGGGUUGUAAACUGCUUUUGUACGGAACGAAAAGGCUCUGGCUAAUACCUGGGGCACAUGACGGUACCGUAAGAAUAAGCACCGGCUAACUACGUG